rnacentral:rRNA from 1 species
CAUGCAGUCGAACGGUAACAGGAAGCAGCUUGCUUCUUCGCUUGACGAGUGGCGGACGGGUGAGUAAUGUCUGGGGAAACUGCCUGAUGGAGGGGGAUAACUACUGGAAACGGUAGCUAAUACCGCAUAACGUCGCAAGACCAAAGAGGGGGACCUUCGGGCCUCUUGCCAUCGGAUGUGCCCAGAUGGGAUUAGCUAGUAGGUGGGGUAACGGCUCACCUAGGCGACGAUCCCUAGCUGGUCUGAGAGGAUGACCAGCCACACUGGAACUGAGACACGGUCCAGACUCCUACGGGAGGCAGCAGUGGGGAAUAUUGCACAAUGGGCGCAAGCCUGAUGCAGCCAUGCCGCGUGUAUGAAGAAGGCCUUCGGGUUGUAAAGUACUUUCAGCGGGGAGGAAGGGAGUAAAGUUAAUACCUUUACUCAUUGACGUUACCCGCAGAAGAAGCACCGGCUAACUCCGUGCCAGCAGCCGCGGUAAUACGGAGGGUGCAAGCGUUAAUCGGAAUUACUGGGCGUAAAGCGCACGCAGGCGGUUUGUUAAGUCAGAUGUGAAAUCCCCGGGCUCAACCUGGGAACUGCAUCUGAUACUGGCAAGCUUGAGUCUCGUAAGAGGGGGGUAAAAUUCAAGGUGUAGCGGUGAAAUGCGUAAAGAUCUGGAGAAAUACCGGUGGCAAAGGCGGCCCCCUGGAACGAAGACUGACGCUCAGGUGCGAAAAGCUUGGGGAGCAAACAGGAUUAGAUACCCUGGUAGUCCACGCCGUAAACGAUGUCGACUUGGAGGUUGUGCCCCUUUGAGGCGGUGGUUUCCCGGGAGCAAACCGGGUUAAAGUCGACCGCCUGGGGAGUACGGGCCCGCAAGGUUAAAAACCUCAAAUGAAUUGGACGGGGGCCCCGCACAAGCCGGUGGAAGCCAUGUGGUUUUAAAUUUCGAUGCCAACGGCGAAAGAAACCUUACCCUGGGUCUUUGACAUCCACGGGAAGUUUUCAGAAGAUGAAAAAUGGUCGCCCU